rnacentral:rRNA from 1 species
GACGAACCGUGCGAACGUUGUUCGGAAUCACUGGGCUUAAAGCGUGUGUAGGCGGGCCCGUAAGUGUCUUGUGAAAUCCCACGGCUCAACCGUGGAACUGCUGGGCAUACUGCGGGUCUUGGGCCAACUAGGGGCAGCCGGAACAAGCGGUGGAGCGGUGAAAUGCGUAGAUAUCGCUUGGAACGCCGAAGGUGAAAACAGGCUGCUGGGGUUGCGCCGACGCUGAGACACGAAAGCCAGGGGAGCAAACGGG